rnacentral:rRNA from 1 species
UACGUAGGUGGCAAGCGUUGUCCGGAAUUAUUGGGCGUAAAGCGCGCGCAGGCGGUCCUUUAAGUCUGAUGUGAAAGCCCACGGCUCAACCGUGGAAGGUCAUUGGAAACUGGAGGACUUGAGUACAGAAGAGGAAAGCGGAAUUCCACGUGUAGCGGUGAAAUGCGUAGAGAUGUGGAGGAACACCAGUGGCGAAGGCGGCUUUCUGGUCUGUAACUGACGGUGAGGCGCGAAAGCGUGGGGGAGCAAACAGG